rnacentral:rRNA from 1 species
CGUGUAGGCGGGAUAGCAAGUCAGUCGUGAAAUACCGAGGCUCAACCUCGGGCUGCGAUUGAAACUGUUAUUCUUGAGUAUCGGAGAGGAAAGCGGAAUUCCCAGUGUAGCGGUGAAAUGCGUAGAUAUUGGGAGGAACACCAGUGGCGAAGGCGGCUUUCUGGACGACAACUGACGCUGAGGCGCGAAAGUGUGGGGAGCAAACA